ACGGGUGGUAAUGCCGGAUGCUCCAGUUGAUCGCAUGGUCUUCUGGGAAAGCUUUCGCGGUAUGGGAUGGGGUCGCGUCCUAUCAGCUUGACGGCGGGGUAACGGCCCACCGUGGCUUCGACGGGUAGCCGGCCUGAGAGGGCGACCGGCCACAUUGGGACUGAGAUACGGCCCAGACUCCUACGGGAGGCAGCAGUGGGGAAUAUUGCACAAUGGGCGCAAGCCUGAUGCAGCGACGCCGCGUGAGGGAUGGAGGCCUUCGGGUUGUAAACCUCUUUUAUCGGGGAGCAAGCGUGAGUGAGUUUACCCGUUGAAUAAGCACCGGCUAACUACGUGCCAGCAGCCGCGGUAAUACGUAGGGUGCAAGCGUUAUCCGGAAUUAUUGGGCGUAAAGGGCUCGUAGGCGGUUCGUCGCGUCCGGUGUGAAAGUCCAUCGCUUAACGGUGGAUCCGCGCCGGGUACGGGCGGGCUUGAGUGCGGUAGGGGAGACUGGAAUUCCCGGUGUAACGGUGGAAUGUGUAGAUAUCGGGAA
rnacentral:rRNA from 1 species